rnacentral:rRNA from 1 species
GACGAACGCUGGCGGCGUGCUUAACACAUGCAAGUCGAACGGAGCGAAUAAAAGCUUGCUUUUAUAAGCUUAGUGGCAAACGGGUGAGUAACACGUAGGCAACCUGCCGACAGGAUGGGGACAACAUUCCGAAAGGAAUGCUAAUACCGAAUGAAGCGCAGGAGAGGCAUCUCUCCUGCGUGAAAGAUGGCCUCUAUAUAUAAGCUAUCACCUGUCGAUGGGCCUGCGUCUGAUUAGCUGGUAGGUGAGGUAACGGCUCACCUAGGCGACGAUCAGUAGCCGGUCUGAGAGGAUGAACGGCCACAUUGGGACUGAGACACGGCCCAGACUCCUACGGGAGGCAGCAGUGGGGAAUCUUCCGCAAUGGGCGCAAGCCUGACGGAGCAACGCCGCGUGAGUGAAGAAGGUCUUCGGAUCGUAAAGCUCUGUUGAUGGGGACGAACGUGCCUAAUGCGAAUAGUAUUAGGUAAUGACGGUACCCAUCGAGGAAGCCAC